AAGCAGAAGAAUUCCCAUUCAACUAGGCCCCAGGGAUGGGGGGCCUCUCUGCCAGUAAGUGACACCCUCUGCUACUGAAAGGCCUCAUGUUCCUGCCCUGCCAAGCCUGGGGUGGCCACCACGUGACAGCACCAGGGACACGUGUCUUCUGGGACUGCUUGUGAGCUGGGUGGCUGGCAAGUUUGUUUCUCCAUGUCCCGGGGCAGGGGCAAGGGUGUGGGUGGUCAUAAUGCACCAGGGCUCUGGGAUGGCUGAGCAGAGUGCAGUUCCUGCUGCCAGCCCCGAUAUGGCACGGACAGCUGGAAAAACUGACCAUGUGGCUUGACUAUCUCAGAGGAUUGCUCCAUUUUUCCUCAGCAUAAUUUUUCCAUGAAUAAUCUUUAAAGCUCUUUAAGUGGCUGUUUCUUUAGCAGUUUUAUUGGAACAUAUGAGAACUGACAGUCUCUGUGGGGAACGAGAUAUCAUGUUGAAAAAAUAUCUGGUUUUCAUUACAUUUCUUUCAAGAAAGCAACAGGCUGCCCAACAGACCACUCAUUGAUUGGAAGAGAAAGGAGCCCAGAGCCUCCUAACAACAGCCUUGGAGUGGACAGGACGAUGAACAGUGAUGGCAAAGACUCAGGAUCUGAAGGGAGACAGGCCUGGUCCCCCACCUGUGUCUGCCACUUGCAGGCUGAGUGACCUUGGGCAAGUCACCUCACAUCUCUGACCCUGAAUUCUACAUCUGCGAAACAGGAAUGGUGACCCUGACUGACAGCCUCCCUGUGAAGAGUAAGCCAUACGGCAUCCCUCCCUUCUUCACGUGACAAACUUUUCCUGAGUCCUGACCUUGGGGGCAGGAGCUGGAGAUACUACACUGGAUUAGAAAGAUGAGUUUCCAGUCAAGUGUGGGAGAGAGAAGUAGCCAGGCUGUAGAACCUGAUGGGGGAAGAGUUCAGGAACUUGCCCGGUUGAGCAGCCAGUCAACGGGACAGCCCUGAGCACGGUGCACGUGAGAACACAGAGGGGACCCCUGGAGGGCCUGAUGUCCAGGCUUUCGUGACUGCCCUGAGCAGCAGAGUGUGGCAGCAGUAAGGCUGCAUGACUUCUGAGGCUGGCAGAAGGGCUCUGUGAUUCAGGUUCUACCCUGCUCUCCUCAGCCAUUUGCUCUGGGUGAAAGCCAGCUGCCCUGCAGGAGGCUGCAAUACUGAGGCUGCCAUGCUGUCAGGAGGCCCAGGCCACAGUGGGAGGCCACAGGUUCUGGGGUGGCUCGUGAGUGACAGCAGUACUGGUAUGCUGGUGAGUGCCUCAGCGGGAGCUCUCUCUGUCCCCCUACCAACUCCCCGAUGUCUGGACGGCACCAGAGCCUGCCUGGGAGGCCACGAGCUAACACUCUCAAGAGGUGAGUGUAUGCCAGGCGCUGGACUAAGGGGACUUCCCCAGAGACCCUGUGAAGUAUGUCUGUAUGAAGAUUCCUAUUCCUAUUUCUCCAAUAGGAAAACAGACUUAGGGGGAUCAAACCAAUGACCCAAGGGCCUACAGCUAAGAACUGCUGGAGCCAGGCUCUGAACUGCGCUCUGCCUGACUCCAGAGGUGGUUUCUACCACCAGGCAAUACAACAGGGAGACACACAGGUGUGUCAGAGAGCAGUCCUCACAGUGCGAGCACAGAAACCAGAGGCCAAGGCUGAAGAUUUUCCUGGACUCGCGGUGCUGCCCAGGAAUCUUCUGAGAAAACCUGUCAGUUGGUAAAGCCACGUGGAGGCAGGGCUAACAAAAUCUGGAAAUGUCUUCACCAGUUCCAAAGUACACACAAACAUUACUUGCCCUCUCUGGGGGUCAACGUUCUUUAUGAUUUUUUUCUCUCCAGGAAAAUAUUAGUUCAUUUAUAGAAACUAAACAUUACAUGUGGAGGGAAAAUGGAAAACGUGGCAUUCUUGGCCUUUUUUUUCUCCACAGACACAGAAACUGAGAAGGUUUCUCCAUUUCCUUUCUCACAGCCUAUUUGUUGGUGUGGAACUGCCUGUGAAGUCAUUCUGCAGGGGUGGAAAGUGGGGGCCAGCUCUCUGUGGGCAACAGGGACCAUCCCAGAGACAAAGGGCAGCCUCAGCCCACAGACCACUUCGGACGUGAAUCAAGGCCUCAAAGGGCGAGAGACCUGGGCCACUGUGGGCUGGGUAGAGGGGUAGAGGCAUGGGCGCUGCCUAGAAGAGGUCCAGAGAGACCGCCCGGCAUAUUGGUCUUGCUCCCACUGCCUCCUUUCAGCUCCUCAGUGUGUCCGUCCUUGCCCCUGGCAGCUUUUGCUGCCUGUUUCCCCGACUAAAAUGUGAGCUUUAGGGGGAAGGUUCUUGCCUUCUCUUGCUGGGCACCUGGCUCACAGCAAGUCCUUGGCCUGGAAGUCUUGGGUGAAUGAAUGAAUGAACAUGUCUCAGGGCCUCUCCUUGGCAGGUGUGGGGGAUGUGCCUACUGGAAAGGGCACUGAGCUGAAGCCUAAACCCCCUCCUGAGGAGCCGGGGAAGCCUGCGUUCCUCCCAUUCCUGGGACUGCAAGAGGCACAUUCCUGUCCCUGAGUCUGGUCAGGCUCCUGCCACGCAGCUCAGUCUGGCUGCCAGGUCCAGAAAGGCCUCCUUGGAGCUGCCCCUCUGGCCCCACCCUCCCCAGGACCCCAGGCCACCGCACAGCUGCAGCAGCACCCACUCUCUGUCUUCUGAGGCUGCUAGUGGGAAGCUGGGACCCCCGAGUGUGUCUGAAGCCUUCCAGGCACUCCUCGACCCUCUGGUGAUCAAUGAAAACCUUCACAUCCUGCUUCCAGGGCUGAAGCCAGGGACUUGGAAAACUGGUUGAAAACACUCCUAUGAGCUGGGGCUUGCUCUGCUGUGGAAAACUGCCGGCAUCAGCACUUCUCCCAAGGCUGUGCCGAGUCAGCAGUCGGCCCACUCUGGAGCUGCCUCUGAGGACCAGGUGCCUACAGGACCCUGUAAGCAGCUUGAAGAGUUGUGGCUGACGGAGGGAUUUCUGUCCUGGGCUCUAGGAAUUCUAGACUGGGCCCUUCCUCAAGGGGCUUUCAGUCUGGCGGAGCAGACAGACAUGGGCAAAUAAGCACACAACUAACUGUGCCAUCACUGCAGAAGGAAGUGCCACAGAGGGGCAUGAGGGCCAGGUGCAGGAAGGAGCCAGGGCCAGCAUGUGCCUGUAAAAGCCAGACAGUAAAUAGCUCAGGCUCUGCAGGCCACAGGGUCUUUGUCCCAAGCACUCAACUCUGCCACUGCUGCAUGAAAACAGCCACAGGUGAUAUGUCAACCAAAGAGGGGUGGCUGUGCCCAUAUGAAAACAGAGGGUGGAUUUGUCCCCCAGUUUGCCAGGGCCUGGUUGUUACAGGGCCUGACCUGAUCGGGGGUGGGGCUGAUAGUGGGGAGAAGGCUUCCCCGAGGCAGUGAUGUUUAGCUAAAAGCUUCAGGCUGAGGCAGUGAUGGAGGCAGAAUCACAAUAUUGACAGUUAUGAUAAUCACAUCACCAUGAUCAAGUUCCACCUAACACGUGUGUUCUAUGUUGCACACUGUGCUAACAACACAACCCUGUGAAGGAGGAAGAUUUUAUACCCACUUUACAGAUGGAGACACUGAGGCUUGGCAGUAUGCUGAGUAGUCUGUUCACACAAUUCAGUUGCAUUUUUUGCCCUGCCCACUUGCCACUUCUGGUCGGGGGAGGCUGCCCCCUGAGAUCCAUCUCCUGGACCCCUUGCCCCCAGCUUUCUAUUGGAUUUGGCCAAUGAAAGGCUCUGGCGGCAGACUGAGGGCUGGAGGAGAGAGAGGCCAGGGAUUUCUCUCUGCUCCCUCCUGCUUCCCCCUCCGUGCCCACAGACCCUGCACAGCCAAUCAUCCUCCAGAACUCAGCCAUCCCUGGGGUUGGUAACACUUCUUCCCCAUGCCCUUCAGCCUAGGACUCCACCCACCCCAGGACCCUGGGCCGGCCCAUGGGUGCCUUGCCAUGCUUUAUUGGUUCUGUUCAUUAAAGUCUCUUCAUGUGAA